UUCUGUCAAGUGAACCACAAG
rnacentral:piRNA from 1 species